rnacentral:lncRNA from 10 species
UACAGCUCUUUUGCUCCCACAGUUCAGCAAAUUCUGAGUUCCUGUCCCAUGACCAAGAGGAAUGAGGAACAUGGACACCGGAGAAUGAGUAAGGCAGAGUAGAAUUUUAUUCAUCAGCGAGAGGGGACCUGAAAGCAGGUCGCCAUCUGUGAGGAUUAAAGUUAGGACCAAAUGCUGCUCAGAAAUUGUUUUAAUCUCAAAAGUAGUUGGCAAGUUUUCAGAGUUCAUUUUCAAGGCCUGGUGUAUGGUAAGUUUCCUUAUAAUGAGUUCUCUAACAUGUUUGGCUUUACUUGGGUGACAGCUUCAGGGAAAUAUUAUGACCCUGUUUCUAAGACUGAUCUUUCUAUUUAGCUUCAUAAAUUGCUUGAUGUCAGCAAGGACAUAAAUAUAAUCUUUAGGUUUUGUGGAAGAUGGUAUCUUGAAUAAAUUUCCAAAAGCCUUUUAGAAAAUAAUGAACAACAAAACUGACUUUUCUUUGGUAUUUAUAGACAAGCACUAAAGGCAAUGUCAUCUACAAACUCAGAGGUAAAUAACCUCAAAGAGGCUUUCAGCACACUCCAGAAGUAUAGUAAGAAAAGCAGCAAUCUGGGAAGUUCUCAGUGAUGAGGUUACCAUAAGUAUAAUCCAAAGUUCAGCAACAACCCUCUAGUUUCUGUUCAUGUUCUUUGCAAUCCAGGGGCUGUUCUAAACUGUCAUCACACUCCUCAAGCCAUUAGCAACCUCAACAUCAGCAAGUGAUAUGCCCUACUUCUCCCCAGAUAAAUUAUGAUAUUGAGGAUGACCUUCUCUUCCCUGCUUCUGCCCCUGGACUUUGCAUACAACCAACUCUGCCCAUCAGGGAGGUGUAACUGUGGCUAAAACGUCAUGUGCUAAAAAUUCCUUCCCUAUUUAUCCUCCUAUGUCUUGCCCACCAAAUUUUUGUCUUCCUAUUUCUCUUUAAUCCUUUCCUUUUCAGUGAUUUCUUUCCUUUGGAACAUAAACAUAUUUCUUUACCUCAAAAGUCAAACCCCUGACUUGAUCCUGUAGUCUCCUCUAACUACCUUUCUCUUUCUUUCCACUUAUGCUUCUGGAAAUGUUGUCACAAUUUUCUGUCAUGUUUUUCUCUUCCCAUUGAAUUUUGAUUCUUCUGCUGUGUGGAUUUCCUCCUUGAAAUCUUCAGUGAAACAACUGAACAUUCAGAGCUAUUUCAUUUUCAAAGAUUCUCACAUGUGAGUAUUCCUCUUUCUGAAUAUAAUCCCCUUUCUAUCUCUUUAAUUUUGUUCUUCCAUCAAAACUUCUCUUUCAACACAGGCUGAGAUUAAAGUUUAUUUCUUAUGGCUUCUGAGACAUCUCUCCCUAAGAGAGCAGAAAGGCCUAUUCAUGUUAAUAUGUCCAAAUCAAACCCACUACACAGAUGUACUCUCAAACCUACAUCUUUAUUUCCUAUCUCAGCUAAUGAGAUAACAAUCUCUCCCUCUCCCAAAGUAGAGACCUUGGAUCCAUCUUUAAUUAUUUCCUAACUCUAAUUAUUAAAUCCAAUCAUACACCAAAAAAUGAUGUUCUGAAUACUCUCUCUUUCAUUUGUGCACUCCUUCUUUGUCGUAUCUCUCCUGGACUAAAAUAAUAGUUUCUUGCAGGGUGUUGAAUAGUGUCCCCUAAAAAAUCAUGCCCACCUGGAACCUCAGAAUGUGACCUUAUUUGGAAAUCGGGUGUGCAGAUGAAAUUAGUUAGGGAUCUCAAAAUGAAGUCACUGUAUUAUUAUUGUAGAUGAUUAUGUACACUAAGUUCAAGGACUGACGUCCUUAUAAAAAGAGAGGGUACACACACAGCCAACAGAGAGAAGAAGGUCAUACGAAGACACGCAGAAUUUGGACUUAUGCGGUCACAAGUCAAGGAGUGCUUGGAGCUACCGGGAGAUGGAAGAGUCAAGGCAGGAUUUUCCCUGGAAGAUUUGGAAGGAACAUAUUUCUCCUGAAACCUUGAUUCUAGCCUUCACUAAUGACAGAGAAUAAAUUUCUGUUCUUUUAAGCCACUCAGUUUGUGGUACUUUGUCUUACAGAAACCCUGGGACACUAAUAAAUUUCCUAAGUGGUAUACAUAACAUCUUCUAACAUUAUGAUUCUAUGGAAUGCUUUGAUAAUCAGCUAAAAGUUAUCGGCUGUCUCCCAGGAAAGAUGCACAAACAUACAUAUUCAACAUUUUGUGUUCAAUUUUUCAAGUUUCCAGGAUUUCCAGGGCCUCUCUACAGAUC